GUACUGCUCAAGAGUCCAAAAUUAAGACGAAACAAUUGUCCAGUAC
rfam:Trichobilharzia regenti genome assembly, scaffold: TRE_scaffold0007791